rnacentral:lncRNA from 10 species
CACUUGGAAGGUCGUCCAAGCCGAAUUCCCUCCCCUCAAGGCUGGGGCAGAGACUCUCUAUCUUCUAUGUCUAAUGACUAACCACAGUGGGUGUUCAAAAUCAACUCCAGACAUGGCUCCUCCCUACCGUCAGAGUGGAGAUGACCCAGGAGGAAGGCUCAUGGGCCUGAAAAUACACAUUCAAAAAAUGUUAGGCACGUUACACAGAACUGUCUUGCUUCAAUGGUAGGGAAUAAUUAUCCCUCAACUAAAUAUUAUAUUAUUCAAAUAGAAAGGCAAUAUAUUAUGACCAAGUGGGAUGUAUUUUAGGAAUGCAAGGUUGGCUUAACAUUCAGAAACCUGUAAAAUACUCCCACUUCCAUUUCCAUGAAGGUAAAGUGGAUGUGCUUUUUCUUGUCUAUCAACUUAUACACACGCCAAUGCUCAUUUCAAGAAAUAAAAAGACUCUCAAGGGAGGAGUAAAAAAAAAGACCAGCUAUUAAUAGGUACCUCAGUCUAAGUAGCAAUAUGGUGGUGAACUCCUGAGUUUACUUUUACCUCAUAUAUCAGAAUGGAUGUUGGCAAAGUUGGCAGUACAAUGAUGCCAACAAGUUCAGACAAAAAUAGUCCAAACAAAAACCUGCAAAGUAGAUUAAAAACAUGACACAUUAUCUACAAGAAACUCACUACAAAUAGAAUGAUACAGGCAGGUUGAAAGUAAAAGGGUGAAGAUAUAUAUAUCAUAUAAACAUUAAUUGAAACACAACAGGAGUAGCAAACAUUAAUUAAAAAACCCCAGUAGUGGCUAUAUUAAUAUCAUAUAAAGUAGGCUUCAGAGUACAUAAAUAUGCCAGAGACAGAGAAGGAUAUUAUGUAAUGACAAAAUAGUCAAUCACCAAGCAGUCAUAGCAACCCUAAAUGUUUAUGCAGUAAAUAUGACAGCAACAAAAUAUGCCGAGAAAAAAAAACUAAUUUAAAGUAUAAGAAAACUAAAAAAGAACUGAAAAGAGAAACACAUAAGUCCAUAAGUAUAAUUGGAGACUUUACCACCACUCUCCUAACAACUAAUCCAAUUAGACAAAAAUCAGCAAAGACAGAAAACUCAAAAGUGCCAUGAACAAAUAUCUAAUUGGCAUUAUUAAAUACUCCAUCCAACAACACAGUUCUAUUCAAGCACCCAUGAAACAUACUUAGAUCAUAUAAAACAAACCUUGAUAAAUUUAAAGUUAUUGAAAUCACACCAAGUGUUUUUUGUCCACAGUGGAAUCAAACUACAACUCCACAACAGAAAGAUAACAAGAAAAUCUUCAAACGUGGAAUUUAACAGUAUACUUUUUUUUUUUCUUCAGAGACAGCGUCUUGCUCAGUCACCCUUGGUUCUUCCUAGAUCUUGGGCCUGCUCGCCUUCAGACUGGAACCACACCACCAGCUCUCCUGGGUCUCUAGCCUGCUGACUCACCCUGCAGCUCAUGGGACUUGUCAGUCUCCAUAAUCGGGUGAGCCAAUUCCUUAUAAUAAAUUUCUUUCUGUAAAGCUAUAUUCCCAGUUUUAAAGCCUGGACUCAGGGAGCCUCCCAAGCUCCACUGUUUAGCCCGUGGCCCCCAGCUCAUCAAAUUGUAAAGACCAUCGAUGCUAGGAAGAAACUGCAUCAACUAAUGAGCAAAAUAACCAGCUAACCUCAUAAUGGCAGGAUCAAAUUCACACAUAACAAUAUUAACCUUAAAAGUAAGUGGGUUAAAUGCCCCAAUUAAAAGACACAGACUGGCAAAUUGGAUAAAGAGUCAAGAACCAUCAGUGUGCUGUAUUCAGGAGACCCAUCUCACGUGCAGAGACACACAUAGACUCAAAAUAAAGGGAUGGAGGAAGAUCUACCAAGCAAAUGGAAAACAAAACAAGCAGAGGUUGCAACCCUAGUCUCUGAUAAAACAGACUUUAAACCAACAAAUAUCAAAAGAGACAAAGAAGGCCAUUACAUAAUGGUAAAGGGAUCAAUUCAACAAGAAGAGCUAACUAUCCUAAAUAUAUAUGCACCCAAUACAGGAGCACCCAGAUUCAUAAAGCAAGUACUUAGAGACCUAUAAAGAGACUUAGACUCCCACACAAUAAUAAUGGGAGACUUUAACACCCCACUGUCAACAUUAGACAGAUCAACGAGACAGAAAAUUAACAAGGAUAUCCAGGACU